rnacentral:rRNA from 1 species
UACAGAGGUCCCAAGCGUUGUUCGGAUUCAUCGGGCGUAAAGGGUGCGUAGGCGGCGCGGUAAGUCGGGUGUGAAAUCUCGGAGCUUAACUCCGAAACUGCAUUCGAUACUGCCGUGCUUGAGGACUGGAGAGGAGACUGGAAUUUACGGUGUAGCGGUGAAAUGCGUAGAUAUCGUAAGGAAGACCAGUGGCGAAGGCGGGUCUCUGGACAGUUCCUGACGCUGAGGCACGAAGGCCAGGGGAGCAAACGGG